rnacentral:lncRNA from 1 species
AGGAGAUGCUGCUAAACCAAUCAGGAGGAAUCUGCCCCCAUGAUCCAACUAUCUCCCACCAGGCCCCACUUCCAACAUUGGGAAUCAGAUUUUUUUCUUUUUUUCAGGGGAGGCUGGGGAGGAAUCACAUUUCAGCAUGAGAUUUGGAGGGAACAAACAUCUAAACCAUAUCAAAUAACAAUGGAGGAGCUUAAGGAUCUGAGCUACAAGAAUGGAAGCCAGCCAAGGAACCCCAGCAUGUUAAUUGAACUUGAUCACCCAGUUGAAGGAAGAAUAACAGUAGAUGUUGGAUCUUCAGGAAGCUGAAGAGGGCAGUGCCCAGAAAUACCUGUCUAGAUAGGGGGAUUUGAACUGAACCAAAGCAUCAACACCAAUCAGACUGUUUCCAAAGAAC